rnacentral:rRNA from 1 species
CCUACGGGUGGCUGCAGUCGAGAAUCAUUCACAAUGGGGGAAACCCUGAUGGUGCGACGCCGCGUGGGGGAAUGAAGGUCUUCGGAUUGUAAACCCCUGUCAUGUGGGAGCAAAUUAAAAAGAUAGUACUACAAGAGGAAGAGACGGGUAACUCUGUGCCAGCAGCCGCGGUAAUACAGCGGUCUCAAGCGUUGUUCGGAUUCACUGGGCGUAAGGCGUGCGUAGGCUGUUUCGUAAGUCGUGUGUGAAAGGCGCGGGCUCAACCCGCGGACGGCACAUGAUACUGCGAGACUAGAGUAAUGGAGGGGGAACCGGAAUUCUCGGUGUAGCAGUGAAAUGCGUAGAUAUCGAGAGGAACACUCGUGGCGAAGGCGGGUUCCUGGACAUUAACUGACGCUGAGGCACGAAGGCCAGGGGAGCGAAAGGGAUUAGAUACCCCAGUAGUC